GAUGAACGCUGGCGGCGUGCCUAAUACAUGCCAGUCGAGCGAACGGACGAGAAGCUUGCUUCUCUGAUGUUAGCGGCGGACGGGUGAGUAACACGUGGAUAACCUACCUAUAAGACUGGGAUAACUUCGGGAAACCGGAGCUAAUACCGGAUGAUAUUUUGAACCGCAUGGUUCAAAAGUGAAAGACGGUCUUGCUGUCACUUAUAGAUGGAUCCGCGCUGCAUUAGCUAGUUGGUAAGGUAACGGCUUACCAAGGCAACGAUGCAUAGCCGACCUGAGAGGGUGGUCGGCCACACCGGAACUGAGACACGGGCCCGACUCCUAAGGGAGGCAGCAGUAGGGAAUCUUCCGCAAUGGGCGAAAGCCUGACGGAGCAACGCCGCGUGAGUGAUGAAGGUCUUCGGAUCGUAAAACUCUGUUAUUAGGGAAGAACAUAUGUGUAAGUAACUGUGCACAUCUUGACGGUACCUAAUCAGAAAGCCACGGCUAACUACGUG
rnacentral:rRNA from 1 species